ACGGAAGGCAGCAGCUAAGAAUAUUCCGCAAUGGACGAAAGUCUGACGGAGCGACGCCGCGUGGAUGAAGAAGGCCGGAAGGUUGUAAAAUCCUUUUAAACAGGAAGAAUAAGUACUGAAGGGAAUGUCAGUAUGGUGACGGUACUGUUUGAAUAAGCAACGGCUAAUUACGUGCCAGCAGCCGCGGUAAUACGUAAGUUGCGAGCGUUGUUCGGAAUUAUUGGGCGUAAAGGGCAUGUAGGCGGAUAUGCAAGCUUGGUGUGAAAGGCGGGAGCUCAACUCCCGAACUGCGUUGAGAACUGCAUAACUAGAGUGACUGAGGGGCAGGCAGAAUUCCAGGUGUAGGGGUGAAAUCUGUAGAUAUCUGGAAGAAUACCAAUGGCGAAGGCAGCCUGCCAGCAGAUGACUGACGCUGAGGUGCGAAGGUGCGGGGAGCAAACAGGAUUAGAUACCCUGGUA
rnacentral:rRNA from 1 species